CCUACGGGAGACAGCAGUGAGGAAUAUUGGUCAAUGGGCGGAAGCCUGAACCAGCCAAGUCGCGUGAGGGAUUAAGGCCCUGCGGGUCGUAAACCUCUUUUGCCGGGGAGCAGUGGUCCGGACGCGUCCGGACCGGGAGAGUACCCGGAGAAAAAGCAUCGGCUAACUCCGUGCCAGCAGCCGCGGUAAUACGGAGGAUGCGAGCGUUAUCCGGAUUUAUUGGGUUUAAGGGGUGCGUAGGCGGUCCGUUAAGUCAGCGGUAAAAUUGCGGGGCUCAACCCCGUCGAGCCGUUGAAACUGGCAGACUUGAGUUGGCGAGAAGUACGCGGAAUGCGCGGUGUAGCGGUGAAAUGCAUAGAUAUCACGCAGAACCCCGAUUGCGAAGGCAGCAUACCGGUGCACAACUGACGCUCAGGCACGAAAGCGUGGGUAUCGAACAGGAUUAGAUACCCUAGUAGUC
rnacentral:rRNA from 1 species